UGAAGACCAAACAUCUGUGGUGAAGUUCAUCGCGGAGUGGUUAUGAAGAAGCUCGUGAAUAUGAUCUGUCAUACGGUUGUAUAACUCCGAAUUACUUUAGGCACUGAUAGAACUGUUCUGUAAUGACGGAAGAUCAGCGCAGAAUUCACCAGACUUGUGUCGAUGGACCUGAGCAAGUCCUUUUAUGAGGGUCUUGACAAACACGCCUCAAAGCUGCUGUAUUUGUACCGCUCGAGGCGCCAUGCAGACAUCGCAGAAAGGAGUGCCAUACUGGAGAGCCUGGAUAAAAAUGCAUCAAAUCACAGGAAGAGGGUUGCAGUACAGCUGGGGCUGCCACUGUCCAUGCGGGAGAAUCCAUCUCAGUUCUUACUGAUCUGUGAGCACACAGAUUCUGAAGAAGAGUUAAUCAAGGGCGUGACUGUUGGAAUCAGUACAGUUGUGGAUGACGCG
ensembl:lncRNA